rnacentral:rRNA from 1 species
UACGUAGGUCCCGAGCGUUGUCCGGAUUUAUUGGGCGUAAAGCGAGCGCAGGUGGUUUAUUAAGUCUGGUGUAAAAGGCAGUGGCUCAACCAUUGUAUGCAUUGGAAACUGGUAGACUUGAGUGCAGGAGAGGAGAGUGGAAUUCCAUGUGUAGCGGUGAAAUGCGUAGAUAUAUGGAGGAACACCGGUGGCGAAAGCGGCUUACUGGACUGUAAAUGACGCUGAGGCUCGAAAGCGUGGGGAGCAAACAGG